GUACAAACCUUUUAUGCAAUGACCUUUACCUGUCAUUUCUAUUACUUCACACAAACACUACAUCCAUCUGCUCCUGGUUCGGCCCCCCGGUCUAAAUUUGGAACCAAAUUCGGCCCGCCAGUCAAAAAGUUUGCCCACCCCUGGCCUAAACCUUUCACAAUCAGUG